AUCCACCAACUAUAUCUGUAGCUGCAGUGACAUUUUUACACAAGGAAAGAUGUAUGCUGCCCAUCUGUCAUGUAAGGACAUAAUGUAGCUAAGCCAUCUACCCUGUCUCUUACUACACGAAUUCAACUCAAAAGGGGAGAAUAAUUCCUUCAACAUUCCUGCUCCAUAGAGAAGAAAUCUCACUCUGCAAGGGUCUGGAAGAGUCCCUGUUUCUGGUUGUUGCCUCUGUACCUGGUGGAACUGUCCCAUCUUCAAAACAGUGUGUUACUGGAGUGAACUCUUACCAGUGAGAAAUUAUUGCUAUGAAUUCAAGAAUCCAAGAACCAAAGACGUCGAGUUUGAAAGUAGUCAGAGAAGUUAUGGUUUUCUGCAGAGAAUAAGAGAGAAACUGGAAAUGAAGAAUGUUCUUAAAAGGUCAAAAUCUGCAAUAACCACCAAGGGCAAUGGGAGAGGAAACUAACUAGAUAGGUGGAGGCCAUUGGAAUUUCAUUCAUCUACUGGAUUCUCCUUGCCAAGUAGUUUCUGGGAAUUCCUCAGUCUUGCUCACAUGUUGUACCACUCUCUCCUGGAUGUCACUUGUCACCUCUACCAGCCCUCCUUUCUCCAGAUGCCUUCUUCAUAACCACCAGAGCUUAUAAGACAUUGUAGGACCUGGCCUGCCCUGACUCCACUUUACCAGAACCAUCUGCUGCUCUUCUCUCUUGUGUUACUCGAGGUAUUAGCUGCUGUGGCAAAUCAACUCUGAAAUCUCCGUGGCUUAAUACAAGAGAGGUUUAUUUCUUACUCACACUGGGUACACCUUGUGGAGAGAUCUGUGCCAUAUCCUCCUGUUAAAGAAGACACCUUGGAGGAUGCUUGGCAGAAUCCUGGUUUGAGAACAUCUUUUUGGAAGCCAGAAUUGUGAUUUAAAGUUAAAGGAAAGAAACAGUGAUUCUCCAACUUCAGUUCCAGGAAAGCAUUUGUCUUCAUCACCCUCAUCCAGACUAACACUUUGUGCUUAGGAAAGACAGAUGUGUCCUGCAGGUCUUUCCUCCCUCACAUGACGAAGCCAGCAGUGCAUCAUACCUGGCUUGUGAACAAACAGAGAAUAGCAGCUUCCAUUUCACAAAUACAUCCAUUCACUCUGAGGAUUUUUUUUCCUCUGGCUGAGGGAGCAAAAUGCCCAUUAUAGUGUAUUCUCCCUGUCCCCAGGCUUUAAUAUAUCUUGGAGCAGCUCUCCUCAGCAUUCCACAUUAUAAAAUCAAUCUCUAUUUAAGUAAGAGGGGGAUAUUUAUUUCUUAAUUUUUUAAUAAUGCAUUUUGUGAUUUGUUAUAGCUUCAGUGUUGUAUUAUUUAUUUAUUGUGCCUAUAGGGUGCACUGCCACUUGGUAAUCGAGGAGCUAUGGAAACUUGAGACCUAAGCAGAAAUGAGUUCAAUAAUAUUGCUACACUCUAGGACUUUCUCCAAAAUUAACAACAGAACAAAAGUGCAAGGCAAUGAUAACCCAUCUGACAGCAUUUGGGUAGUGUUUGUGAAAGCAAUGGUGAUGGAGGUUUUAAAAGAAUGUCGGGUAAGGGGAAGUGACAAAUGGAUGAGCUAUUUUAAAAUUCAGAACCAUUUCAUAAGCCUCAUAAAACUGGAUUUGCUAUGUUCUUGGGGGGAAGAGUGUUUAUUUCAUGUUUUACUAAGGAAAAAGCUGUUCAAGAACCUUAUAGAACUUAAAUAUGUUUUCCCUCUCUUCUUGCAGAUCAUAUAAGCAAGAAUGUUGAUGAAUAUAGCUUGGGACCAAGACGCCUUCAUUUUGAUCCCAAGGCCUGCUGACAAUGUGCUGAAAGGAAAGAGGAUCUUCAGUUUUUUUAAAAACAGGAAUGAUUUGGUGUGUUCGUUCUUAACAAUUGUUAAACAACAUAAAAUGUGAUUCUUAUACUUAAUUUUUCUCUCUCAAAGUUAAAGUAAUAGGAAGUAACCACACAGUUGGAAAAUUUGCUGAUAUACAUACAAAUGAUGUCAUAAAAAUUGGGGAUGUUUAGAUAAAAAUCAGGGUUAGAUUGACAUGUUUAACCCCAAAGCCUUCUACACCUGGAAGACAUUACUCAAGCCCUGUUACAGUGUUAUGAUACUAAUUAGUGCCAAUACCCUCCAAUAAUUUUGAAUUCUUUAACUCUCUCAUUAAUCCUGAUGUGCAUUUCAGGAAAAUGAAUUCAUGCUGAUUUGACAUCAAGCAAUAAAUAAAGGCAGUGAAGGGCACUUGCCCUUGGUGGAAAGAUGGCAUCUUAGCCAGGCAGCCAGCCGGUCUGUCAACAGCAUUUAUUGAGUGUCUAAUGAGAGAAAGUGCCACGAGACAAAGAGGAGACACGGGCUCUGGCCUUGGGGAGCAGCCAGGGCAAUGGCAGAGGCAGAGAAAAGAGUGGAGAUGUGUCUGCCAAAUACUGGAGAAGCAGCACAUCAGUGAGGGCAACCUGGAGGAGGGGGCGCCUCCCGUUUGCUGGUCACAUUGCGCAUGGCAGCCUAUGCUAAUGGCCUUUUUAUUGGUGAGCCCAUCAGAUACUCAAGCAAUGCUGUGAGGGAAAUGGUGUCAACUUCUCCAUGCCUCAGUUUCUCAGCUGUAAAAUGAACUCCACUGAGUGGCUGGGGAGUGGCAAAGCCAGUGUCUGUGCAGCUCCUUCCACCCGGCUGGAGGUCAGAGGGCACUGAACACUGGCAGGGGCGAGGAAAUGAGAAGAGGCAUGCUUCAGCUACAGCUGUCCAAGACUCCCCCACCUUUCAGGCCCAUUAAGAAAAUGUAAGAUUUCAAAUGAGGGGAAAAACUGAAAUUCUCAUUUUAGGAUUUGGCUAAGGAGAUUACAAAAGAAUCACAAUACACACAUUUGGCUUUAGCACAUGUUCAGUUCUGUCACAUUUGUGUGUUUUAUGCUGGUGGAAGGAAAUGUAUAGCUGGAUGCCUGUGUGAUCUAGUAGCUUUUCAAUAGCAUGGCAGGGUGGAGCCCACUGAUUCUCCAUCCUGUUUCUCUCUAGGUGCACAGCAGUGCAAUGUAGGGGUGCCUCCCUAAUGGGUUGCAAAUCUUCAUUUAUUUCUGACGUGUGCUGGGGAUGAAACCAAUGAAGAGAAGGUGGAGCACACCCACUCCCCAUUUCCCUGAUGCAGAGAAGGUUCUUCCUUUAUACUCUCAUCAACCCCAUUCUUGGGCCCUAUAUUAAUCCAUUCUUGCAUUGCUAUAAAGAAAUACUUGAAAUGGGGUAAUUUAUAAAGAAAAGAGGUUUAAUUGACUCAUGGUUCUAAAGGCUAUACAGGAAGCAUAGUGGCUUCUGCUUCUGGGGAAGCCUCAGGAAAUUUACAAUCAUGGCAGACGUGAAGGAGAAACAGGCACGUCUUACAUGGCCAAAGCAGGAACAAGAGCGGGGGGGUUGGGUGGUGGUGCUAAACACUUUUAAGGGACCAGAUCUUGUGAUAACUCACUCUUGCCAUGACAAUACCAAGGGGGAUGGUGUUAAACCAUGAGAAACUGCCCCCAUGAUCCAAUCACUUCCCACCAGGCCCCACCUCCAACACUGGGAAUUACAAUUUGACAUGAGAUUUGGGCAGAGACACAGAUGUAAGCCAUAUCAUGUCCCUUGGCAAUAACAGCACAGAGGGAUAUUAAUUGGCCUUUGUGAAUACACAAGAGCCAUAAAGACUUUAGUUGUUGCCAUAUGAAAUUAUAGACACUGGUUGUAAUAAUAGAAAUGCUUCAUCAAUAAGCUGGUUGUUUAAUUUUGACAAAAGCACAAAAAGUUUGAUUUUCUUCUUUCUCUCUUUUUGGUUAAGGUGACUGAUUUGGAGGAAGUAGGAGUUGGGGCAGAAUGACUGUGUUCUGUCAGACACACUCAGCCUCAGGAAGCCAAGCCAUAGCUCACAGGUAUGGGAAGCAGAGGCCCUCAGAAGAUGGGUAUAACAUAGCCAUGUUUGCCUGCAGAACUUGAAUAUGAGAUAUACUUAUUCUUAAGGAGAUUUUGGGCUGAGACAAUGGGGUUUUCCAGAUAUACAAUCAUGUCAUCUACAAACAGGGACAAUUUGACUUCCUCUUUUCCUAAUUGAAUACCCUUUAUUUCCUUCUCCUGCCUGAUAGCCCUGGCCAGAACUUCCAGCACUAUGUUGAAUAGGAGUGGUGAGAGAGGGCAUCCCUCUCUUGUGCCAGAUUUCAAAGGGAAUGCUUCCAGUUUUUGCCCACUCAGUAUGAUAUUGGCUGUGGCUUUGUCAUAGAUAGCUCUUAUUAUUUUGAGAUAUGUCCCAUCAAUACCUAAUUUAUUGAGACUUUCUAGCAUGAAGUGUUGUUGAAUUUUGUCAAAGGCCUUUUCUGCAUCUAUUGAGAUAAUCAUGUGGUUUUUGUCUUUGGUUCUGUUUAUAUGCUGGAUUACAUUUAUUGAUUUGCGUAUGUUGAACCAGCCUUGCAUCCCUUAGCAACUUCGGCAAAGUCUCAGGAUACAAAAUCAAUGUACAAAAAUCACAAGCAUUCUUGUACACCAAUCACAGACAAACAGAGAGCCAAAUCAUGAGUGAACUCCCAUUCACAAUUGCUUCAAAGAGAAUAAAAUACCUAGCAAUCCAACUUACAAGGGAGGUGAAGGACUUCUUCAAGGAGAACUACAAACCACUGCUCAAUGAAAUAAAAGAGGAUACAAACAAAUGGAAGAACAUUCCAUGCUCAUGGGUUGGAAGAAUCAAUAUUGUGAAAGUGGCCAUACUGCCCAAGGUAACUUAUAGAUUCAGUGCCAUCCCCAUCAAGCUACAAAUGACUUUCUUCACAGAAUUGGAAAAAACUACUUUAAAGUUCACAUGGAACCAAAAGAGAGCCCGUGUUGCCAAGUCAAUCCUAAGCCAAAAGAACAAAGCUGGAGGCAUCACGCUACCUGACUUCAAACUAUACUACAAGGCUACAGUGACCAAAACAGCAUGGUACUGGUACCACAACAGAGACAUAGAUCAAUGGAACAGAACAGAGCCCUCAGAAAUAAUGCUGCAUAUCUACAACUAUCUGAUCUUUGACAAACCUGACAAAAACAAGAAAUGGGGAAGGAUUCCCUAUUUAAUAAAUGGUGCUGGGAAAACUGGCUAGCCAUAUGUAGAAAGCUGAAACUGGAUCCCUUCCUUACACCUUAUACAAAAAUUAAUUCAAGAUGGAUUAAAGACUUACAUGUUAGACCCAAAACCAC